GAUGAACGCUGGCGGCGUGCUUAACACAUGCAAGUCGAACGAAGCAUUUAGAACAGAUUACUUCGGUUUGAAGUUCUUUAUGACUGAGUGGCGGACGGGUGAGUAACGCGUGGGUAACCUGCCUUGUACUGGGGGAUAGCAGCUGGAAACGGCUGGUAAUACCGCAUAAGCGCACAAUGUUGCAUGACAUGGUGUGAAAAACUCCGGUGGUAUAAGAUGGACCCGCGUCUGAUUAGCUAGUUGGUGAGAUAACAGCCCACCAAGGCGACGAUCAGUAGCCGACCUGAGAGGGUGACCGGCCACAUUGGGACUGAGACACGGCCCAGACUCCUACGGGAGGCAGCAGUGGGGAAUAUUGCACAAUGGAGGAAACUCUGAUGCAGCGACGCCGCGUGAGUGAAGAAGUAAUUCGUUAUGUAAAGCUCUAUCGGCAGGGAAGAUAGUGACGGUACCUGACUAAGAAGCUCCGGCUAAAUACGUG
rnacentral:rRNA from 1 species